UGGUAGUGACGAAAAAUAACAAUGCGGGACUCUUCCGAGUCUGCGUAAUUGGAAUGAGCACACUUUAAAUCCUUUAGCAACAACCAAUUGGAGGGCAAGUCUGGUGCCAGCAGCCGCGGUAAUUCCAGCUCCAAUAGCGUAUAUUAAAGUUGUUGCGGUUAAAAAGCUCGUAGUUCGAGCUCAGUUCCGGACUGGCCGGGGAGGUCACCGCCCGGUGCUUCCCCGUCAGGCUCCGAACAGCUUCCGUGAGUGGAAGCCAAGCCGGUUCUGCCGGGGUGCUCUUCACCGAGUGUCCCGCGCGGCCGGCCAGUUCACCUUGAAUAAAUGAGAGUGCUCAAAGCAGGCUACUCUCGAAUACAAUGCCCGAAUGUUACCUGCAUGGAAUGAUGGAAGAUGAUCUCGGUUCCAUUUUCUUGGUGGUGGGAGCCAGAGGUAAUGAUAAAGAGGGACUGUCGGGGGCAUCCGUACUACGACGCGAGAGGUGAAAUUCAGUGACCGUCGUAGGACGAACAACAGCGAAAGCAUUUGCCAAGAAUGUCUUCGUUGAUCAAGAACGAAAGUUAGAGGAUCGAAGGCGAUCAGAUACCGCCCUAGUUCUAACCCUAAACGAUGCUGACCAGCAAUUCGCCGUCGUUAUUCCCAUGACGUGGCGAGACGCCCCCGGGAAACCUCAAGUCUUUGAGUUCCGGGGGUAGUAUGGUUGCAAAACUGAAACUUAAAGGAAUUGACGGAAGGGCACCACCAGGAGUGGAGCCUGCGGCUUAAUUUGACUCAACACGGGAAACCUCACCAGGCCCGGACACCAGAAGGAUUGACAGAUUAAGAGCUCUUUCUCGAUUUGGUGGGUGGUGGUGCAUGGCCGUUCUU
rnacentral:rRNA from 3 species